rnacentral:lncRNA from 1 species
AAAGAUGCUCAUUAACCAUGAAAAAGAGUUUAGCAUACAUUAAUACAAAUGUAGAUUAUGGUAAAAAAUUUAAAACAACACUAAAGAUUAUAGGCUUCAGUAUAUAAAGUAUUUACCAAAAACUCAAUAUUUUUGUAGGGGUUAGACCAUAGAUUUUGAGAAAAUUUCAAAAAAUAUGACAAUGUUGUUUUAAUGCCUAGUUGCAUCCUGCACUAACAUAUGAUGAUGUUCAAAUAGGUUUGGAGCCUUUGUCGUCUCCGUUUAUCAAGAAAAUAAUAACUUUAUAGUGGUUAUUCCAUCGAUUUAGGGAGUAUUAUGAAGUUUUAUUAAAUUAUUUGAUAAAAACAAUUGAACGAUGCUCAUUUACAAUGAAAAAGAGUUUAGCAAUCCGAUCAACCCACCAAGUUUGCAUCAUAAC